GAUGAAGAACGCAGCGAAAUGCGAUAAGUAAUGUGAAUUGCAGAAUUCAGUGAAUCAUCGAAUCUUUGAACGCACAUUGCGCCCGCCAGUAUUCUGGCGGGCAUGCCUGUCUGAGCGUCAUUUCAACCCUCAUGCCCCUAGGGCGUGGUGUUGGGGAUCGGCCAAAGCCCGCGAGGGACGGCCGGCCCCUAAAUCUAGUGGCGGACCCGUCGUGGCCUCCUCUGCGAAGUAGUGAUAUUCCGCAUCGGAGAGCGACGAGCCCCUGCCGUUAAACCCCCAACUUUCCAAGGUUGACCUCAGAUCAGGUAGGAAUACCCGCUGAACUUAAGCAUAUCAAUAAGCGGAGA
rnacentral:misc_RNA from 1 species